AUGUGCAUUCCUACAACAUAAUGUUAAUGCAUCAGAUCCCAUUAUAAAUCUGCAAUUAAGCGUGUUUAGGCUAGAGUAGUACUGGGAUGGGUGACCACUCAGGAAUUCCUAGUGUUUUACAUG
rfam:Picea glauca, whole genome shotgun sequence.